rnacentral:tRNA from 1 species
GGAGGCAUGGCUCAAGUGGCAGAGCACUUGUCUCACAAGCAUGAAGACCUGAGUUCAAACCCUAAUAUCACCA